rnacentral:rRNA from 1 species
UACGAAGGGGGCGAGCGUUGUUCGGAUUUACUGGGCGUAAAGGGCGCGCAGGCGGCGAGUUUUGUCAGGCGUGAAAGCCCCGGGCUCAACCUGGGAAUUGCGCUUGAAACGGCUUGCUAGAGAUCGGGAGAGGAGAGUGGAAUUCCCAGUGUAGAGGUGAAAUUCGUAGAUAUUGGGAAGAACACCGGUGGCGAAGGCGGCUCUCUGGACCGA